rnacentral:rRNA from 1 species
UACCGCGAAGGACCUUACCUACUCUUGACAUCCAGAGAACUUUCCAGAGAUGGAUUGGUGCCUUCGGGAACUCUGAGACAGGUGCUGCAUGGCUGUCGUCAGCUCGUGUUGUGAAAUGUUGGGUUAAGUCCCGCAACGAGCGCAACCCUUAUCCUUGUUUGCCAGCGAGUAAUGUCGGGAACUCCAGGGAGACUGCCGGUGAUAAACCGGAGGAAGGUGGGGACGACGUCAAGUCAUCAUGGCCCUUACGAGUAGGGCUACACACGUGCUACAAUGGCGCAUACAGAGGGCAGCCAACUUGCGAAAGUGAGCGAAUCCCAAAAAGUGCGUCGUAGUCCGGAUUGGAGUCUGCAACUCGACUCCAUGAAGUCGGAAUC